CAGCUAGUUGGUGAGGUAACGGCUCACCAAGGCUAUGAUCGUUAGCUGGUCUGAGAGGAUGGCCAGCCACACUGGAACUGAGACACGGUCCAGACUCCUACGGGAGGCAGCAGUGGGGAAUCUUGCACAAUGGGCGAAAGCCUGAUGCAGCGACGCCGCGUGGGGGAUGAAGCUUUUCGGAGUGUAAACCCCUUUCGACCCGGACGAAUGCCCCGCAAGGGGACUGACGGUACGGGUAUAAGAAGCCCCGGCUAACUACGUGCCAGCAGCCGCGGUAAGACGUAGGGGGCCAGCGUUGCUCGGAAUUACUGGGUGUAAAGGGUUCGUAGGCGGUGUGGCAAGUCGGGAGUGAAAUCUCUGGGCUCAACCCAGAGGCUGCUUCCGAAACUGCCGUGCUUGAGUGUGGGAGAGGCGCGUGGAAUUGCAGGUGUAGCGGUGAAAUGCGUAGAUAUCUGCAGGAACACCCGUGGCGAAAGCGGCGCGCUGGACCACAACUGACGCUGAGGAACGAAAGCUAGGGGAGCAAACAGGAUUAGAUACCCUGGUAGUCCUAGCCCUAAACGAUCAGGACUUGGGGUGCUUCACGUUCGUGGAGCGUCCCGGAGCUAACGCGUUAAGUCCUGCACCUGGGGAGUACGGUCGCA
rnacentral:rRNA from 1 species